CUGCGUUCCUUGAGGCGCUAAGAGAUUCACCCGUCGUGAUGAAGGGGAGACAGCCUUCUUGGUGUAGGUUGACGGACGCCUGUCGAAGAAGUCUCUGGAAAGUUCGUGGCGUUCUAAUAGGUGUGGACGGGCAGUGUUGGUGUCCCCCGUCGCGAAAGAAAUGACUCUUUCUGUCUCACGCAUAUGGUGGUUUUAUUGCCGGUGCGCGCUCGCAGUCGUGGUUUCUAAAACCAGCGAUCGCAGCGCCUCGCGACAGGGCAAAGCGUUGAAGAGGCUUCUUCCACGUGCCCGCGGCGUCUCGGCCUGUCAGCGCCAAGGUUUCCGGCGAGACGUUUCCACAUUUUUCGUGUCAAGGCGCGAGCGAGGCCGUCAUCGAGGCACACUGCGCUUAGGGAGAAGGUUCUUUUCCGAACUUUUUCUGCGCGGAGGAGCACCCCCAGAGAGCGCUCACCUGACACUGGUGGGUGGCGCACAGCGUUUGCGCGACACGGCCGGGAAGAACGAGGAAGAACGCCGCGACGCACAGGCCAGAAAGCAUCACCAUUUUGAUGGUGAAGUGAAGCGAAGCGUCAAAGGACGGGACGAGAAGCGGCUCUGCUCUUCACCGCUCCUCGCGCGUUUCAUCGAGGAAGGUUCCUCGUGCGACAUCCACGCCCGUCGUUUCCCCGCGAAUUCCGACAGCCUUACGGUUUCUGGCAACAGAGCAGACUGAACGUAAGGCCUUUUACACCUCCGCAGCAACAUGUACUUGUACGUCCAGUAGUAGAUGCCCCACAUCACCAUGCCGAAGAAGCCUCCGAUCGGAGCGAGAGGAAGAUACAUUACAGUCAGCGCGAAAGACUUCAGAACCGUCGCAAGUCUGGCAAGGCCGAAAGCCGAAACACAAAAACCUCAGGCAGAGCUUCAGAUGCACGUGCGGGUACAGCACAUUUUCCCCCACACUUUUCAAGGACGCACAGAGUGCUUGCGGCAACACGGACGUACGCGGUCCUCUUUCUCCGCAACAGAGCCACACGUUUCUCCAAAAUCACCUCUUCCCACGCACGCACAUACAUAUAAAUACAUAUAUUGUACCCGUACAAAAGAUAUUUACACAUAUAUAUAUAUAUAUAUAUAUGUACAAGUGUUACUAAGUUUAGACACGCGCUGCGGCGUGCGUAUCGAUGGAAGUCUGUGUGGCUGUGACGAGUCUGUUUUUCUGUUUCGCAAUUCCUGUCUUCGUCUCCGUGAGUCCAGCGCUGUCUCAGGCGCCUUCGCUUGUUUUUCGACCCCUGGAACGAGUGCGGGCACUUGAGAAGGCUCGCAGGUUUUCGGCUUUCUCGAGUUUGAGGAGAGGCGCGAGAGAUGCUGGGACUGAGCGUACCUCGAAGGUCCAGGUAUGGAUGGGCGGCCGCAUCGACGUCCACACGUGUUUCCACCUGUG
rnacentral:lncRNA from 1 species